GACGAACGCUGGCGGCGUGCCUAAUACAUGCAAGUCGAGCGGACUUUCAAGAAGCUUGCUUUUUGAAAGUUAGCGGCGGACGGGUGAGUAACACGUGGGCAACCUGCCUGCAAGACGGGGAUAACUCCGGGAAACCGGGGCUAAUACCGGAUAAUAUCUUCCUUCGCAUGAAGGAAGGUUGAAAGGCGGCGCAAGCUGCCGCUUGCAGAUGGGCCCGCGGCGCAUAGCUAGUUGGUGAGGUAACGGCUCACCAAGGCGACGAUGCGUAGCCGACCUGAGAGGGUGAUCGGCCACACUGGGACUGAGACACGGCCCAGACUCCUACGGGAGGCAGCAGUAGGGAAUCUUCCGCAAUGGACGAAAGUCUGACGGAGCAACGCCGCGUGAGCGAAGAAGGUCUUCGGAUCGUAAAGCUCUGUUGUCAGGGAAGAACAAGUACCGUUCGAACAGGGCGGUACCUUGACGGUACCUGACCAGAAAGCCACGGCUAACUACGUG
rnacentral:rRNA from 1 species